AUAUUGGCAUGUGGACACUCUAUGUACAUCUCUGUAUGUCUCUCCCAUGCUUCAUGAAACUCUUCAUUAAGCUUCUGUGUGAAUGUCAAAAUCUUCCUCUUGUAAUU
rnacentral:snoRNA from 1 species